GAAAAAGGCCUUUCAGCCAUCUUGGAAUUUGUAUGUAAACAAUCUGCAAUAUUUUGCAAUAUAUUUUUUUUUGCUCUUUGUGUGUGGAAUUGUAUUGGUGGGAAUAAGAGCAUUGAAAAGUUGAAAGCUCAAGAGAAUAAAUCGACUCUCAGUGUCGGUUGGUGAUGGAGAUAUUUUACCCGCGUUUUGCAGCUAGAGACGUCGGUUAAUCGUUCGAUUAAUUCAAAUAAUCGAAUAUCUGUAACAGUAAUUUUAUACCAAAUAAUGAAAAAUCAAGAAAAUACAGUGCAAAAUUUGUUUAACCGUCAUGGUGUUUCGUCGAAAUUCAUAGAAUAUGCUAAAUCAUUUACGGUAGAAGCUUGAUUCCUAGGUGGUGGAGGAGACUGGGAAGAAGAAUUCAGGGUCUGCAGGAGUAAAAUGCGGACUUGAAGAAGGUGGUCUCAGCUCCCGUUCUAAAAUAGUAGUAGUCAAAUUCAGAGCGCCGAGGAAAAAAUACCAUACUAGUGAUCAAUGAUUCUAUGACCAAGCAGAGAUAUUCAAACAAAUCAGC